rnacentral:lncRNA from 1 species
AUGUGUCCGGUUCUACCGCCUAUUCAAUCACCUAAUAUUGAUCCUCUCUUUUUUUCCCCAUAAGUCAUCAUCUGUUAUUGAUUAGUCAAAUCUAUCCAAGAUUUUUGUCUCAGCCAAGAUCUUAAUUUUCGUAUCGGUAUUUAACAUCUCCUAAUACAGUAUAUAACAUGUGACCCUUGUUAUUUAGGUCAGUAUAUGCUGGUAUAGUUUGAGAUAUCAGUUGAUCUGGAUUGAUGAAUUGGAUGAGAUUUUACACACCUUGUCUUACAAUUUUAAACAGGCAUUUUAUGAUUAAGAUAACAAGUGCAUCACAAGAGUAGCUCUAUUGUUGUUCUAUUUAUCAGCUGAGAUUUAGAUGUUUUGGUCCCAAUAUGACUGAGAUCUUCGAAUAUCUUGUCCAUAUCUAACUUCUUGCAACUUUGAUCUUGACCUAGAUAAGUCGGAGUCUUGGUUCAUCUCGAGCACCAACUUACGUGAUUGAUUGAUAUUUCACCUUUUCAAAACCUAGGAUACAUGUAAAUGGAUAGGCAGUGAAUUAGAUAGAACGAGGAAGAAACAUGAAUAGCGUGAGAAUUCAAUCUCUUCCUAUACCAUCACUCAAAAGAUAGCCUUGUCCUAGUGCAUGACCUAGGCAGGCUGAUAACAACCAUGCGGCUUGGUAGAAUCAUGUAGUCAAAUCCUGGUUAUCACAAUCUUGCUUUUAAUUGUAUGAUCAAAAACGCAGGUCAGGUUGAUCACGUAGAAUCCAUCCAAUUGGCAAUUUCCUACAAUUCCUUGUCUGGGAAUCAGACCUACUAAAUCUGGACAUUAAAUUUGGCUUACAUCAGCUUGAAUUGUGGCAGCGGUCAUAUCCCUCUGCCGAGCAAAUAGAGAUUAUAGUUUCAAAUCUUGGGAUGGUGUUACACCCAGAUAAUUGUGCGCAUGGGUCUCCCUCCCUUUCUCUCAGUUAUAUAAGAUUAAUUCAGAGAAUAUACUUGGGGCUGCCUCUUGCUUCAAAGUUAAAUGCCCCUAGGUCCUCGAUUCCCUCAAAUUAUAGGGACAUCUCACGGCGNNNNNNNNNNNNNNNNNNNNUUUUUUUAAAUAUUUAAUUUAUGUGGGGGAUUGUUGAAUUAAAUUAAAUAUUUUAAAAUUUUGAAAACUAAAUUAGUCAAUGGCCAAGUGGCA